UACGUAGGGUGCGAGCGUUGUCCGGAAUUAUUGGGCGUAAAGAGCUCGUAGGCGGUUUGUCGCGUCGACUGUGAAAACCUACAGCUUAACUGUGGGCUUGCAGUCGAUACGGGCAGACUUGAGUUCGGUAGGGGAGACUGGAAUUCCUGGUGUAGCGGUGAAAUGCGCAGAUAUCAGGAGGAACACCGGUGGCGAAGGCGGGUCUCUGGGCCGGUACUGACGCUGAGACGCGAAAGCGUGGGGAGCAAACAGG
rnacentral:rRNA from 1 species